UUUUAACCACAAGCAGAUUACGGCGCUGGGGCCUUGUCAGCAAAAUUUUACCAAGGGAUUUGGGGUUGUCAGCUCGAUGACGCGCAGUCCUUGCGAGCGGCUGUGAAACGGCACCCGGGCGGGCCUGGGGGGAUACUGCGGACAAAAUGGAGGAGCACCGCGACGGGCGCGCUGCCGAGGGCCAGGCCGCGCGGAAGGCUGCCCUGCACUGUGCCCUCGCUGCCAGUCCACGCGGCGCCCGAACGCCGCACGGGGGCCAGGGCCGUGCCGAGCAGGCCGCCCUGCUCAGGAGGAUAAGUGAACAAAUGCACCCUUUUCCAGUUUUUCCUCAAGCCACCUUGAGCUAAAGGUUCCUGUCGUAACCUGGGCCUCCUGGACGUUUGACGUUCAGUCUUCACAUAUUUCAAAGGUUUCUGCAGGGAAAAUGGUGCCACCGCCGGGCCGGGCGUUGUGCAGAGUCAUUCUUGCUGCCUGGCACCCAACAAGUGCUGGAUGGGGUCAGUCGACUUGGAGUACCAUGUUCGCGCGUGUUCUUAUCCAUGUAAUGACCUUUCUUUGAUGAUCUUUGAAUGCCUUUCUGCAAUCCCAAUAAAAUACACAGUUUAUGACUUG